GAUGAACGCUGGCGGCGUGCUUAACACAUGCCAGUCGAACGGACAGGCCGAAGCUUGCUUCGGUACUCGAGUGGCGAACGGGUGAGUAACACGUGUGUGAUCUGCCCUGUACUUCGGGAUAAGCUUUGGAAACUGGGUCUAAUACCGGAUAUGACGAUCUCUUGGAUGGGGUUGUGGAAAGCUUUUGCGGUAUGGGAUGAGCUCGCGGCCUAUCAGCUUGUUGGUGGGGUAAUGGCCUACCAAGGCGUCGACGGGUAGCCGGCCUGAGAGGGUGUACGGCCACAUUGGGACUGAGAUACGGCCCAGACUCCUACGGGAGGCAGCAGUGGGGAAUAUUGCACAAUGGGCGCAAGCCUGAUGCAGCGACGCCGCGUGGGGGAUGACGGCCUUCGGGUUGUAAACUCCUUUCGCAAUCGACGAAGCCUUUUGGUGACGGUAGGUUGAGAAGAAGCACCGGCUAACUACGUG
rnacentral:rRNA from 1 species